GUCUGUUUGGAUCCCCCUUUUCAGCUAAAGCAAAACUCCUGUCUGGUUUAUUCAUUCGGGAUUAAAAACAACUGGUCUUUUGAUGACUAUAUGGUUAAAGCAGGGUGUGAAGUACAUUCAUUCGAUCCCACGAUAGGGCAGGAAGACCACGUCCGCGUGCCAGGAAACAUCUUCCAUAACUUGGGCCUUGAGGGAUGGAACGGUAAAAAAC